rnacentral:rRNA from 1 species
CACGUAGGGUGCGAGCGUUGUCCGGAAUUAUUGGGCGUAAAGAGCUCGUAGGCGGUGUGUCGCGUCGGCCGUGAAAACCUGCAGCUUAACUGUGGGCUUGCGGUCGAUACGGGCAGGCUCGAGUUCGGUAGGGGAGACUGGAAUUCCUGGUGUAGCGGUGAAAUGCGCAGAUAUCAGGAGGAACACCGAUGGCGAAGGCAGGUCUCUGGGCCGAUACUGACGCUGAGGAGCGAAAGCAUGGGGAGCGAACAGG